GUCCAAGCGGACCUAAGGAGUCGCAGUUGUGAGCAGGUUAGAGUUACUUGUUAUUGGUAAACAGCCACUAUGGAGAGUAAGGACAAGAAGAAACACCGAAAGAAAAACAGCGGACCCAAAGCUGCAAAGAAAAAGAAGUGGCAUCUGCGGGAUCUCCAGCUAGGAGACGAAGAAAAUGCCCAGAAGAGAAAUGCCAACGCUUUCGCAGUUCAGUCUGCUGUGUGGAUGGCUCUAUCCUUUCACAGGACUCUGGAUUUGAAGACACAAAAGCAUCAUAUUCCAGUCAUUGAUGGAACUCCACUAGAGCCCCCAGCAAUAGUGGUAGUGGUGACGGGGCCUCCAAAGUUGGAAAGAGCACUUUGAUACAAUGCCUCAUUCAGAACUUCAUUGGCAGAAGUUGACCGAGAUCAGAGGCCCUGUGACGAUCGUGUCAGGUAAAAAGUGCAGACUCACCAUUAUUGAAUGUCAGUGUGACAUUAACAUGAUGAUUGAUCUGGCUAAAGUAGCAGAUCUGGUACUGAUGCUUAUAGAUGCCAGCUUUGGGUUUGAAAUGGAAAUGUUUGAAUUUCUAAACAUCUGUGAAGUACAUGGCUUUCCUAAAAUUAUGGGAGUUCUCACCCACCUCGACUCCUUCAAGCAUAAUAAGCAACUGAAGAAGACAAAGAAGCGAUUAAAACACAGGUUCUGGACAGAAGUUUACCAGGUUGCCAAACUGUUCUACCUUUCUGGAAUGGUGCAUGGAGAAUAUCAAAACCAAGAAAUCCACAAUCUGGGCCAUUUUAUUACAGUUAUGAAGUUUAGGCCUCUCGCAUGGCAGACUUCUCACCCUUAUAUCCUGGCAGACAGGAUGGAAGAUUUGACAAACCCGGAGGAUAUCCAAACAAACAUCAAAUGUGACCAGCAGGUGUCACUUUAUGGUUAUUUAAGAGGCGCACACUUGAAAAAUAAAAGCCAAAUUCACAUGCCAGACAAGGUGGGGCCACCCAUGAGCUGGUCCAGAGUCUCAUCUCCACCUACUCCACCAUGGAUGCCAAGAUGGCUUCAAGUCGAGUGAUGCUGUUUUCCGAUUCCAAACCACUUGGGUCAGAGGCUAUAGAUAAUCAAGG
rnacentral:sRNA from 1 species